UUGAACGCUGGCGGCAGGCCUAACACAUGCAAGUCGAACGGUAACAGGAAGCAGCUUGCUGCUUCGCUGACGAGUGGCGGACGGGUGAGUAAUGUCUGGGAAACUGCCUGAUGGAGGGGGAUAACUACUGGAAACGGUAGCUAAUACCGCAUAAUGUCGCAAGACCAAAGAGGGGGACCUUCGGGCCUCUUGCCAUCGGAUGUGCCCAGAUGGGAUUAGCUUGUUGGUGGGGUAACGGCUCACCAAGGCGACGAUCCCUAGCUGGUCUGAGAGGAUGACCAGCCACACUGGAACUGAGACACGGUCCAGACUCCUACGGGAGGCAGCAGUGGGGAAUAUUGCACAAUGGGCGCAAGCCUGAUGCAGCCAUGCCGCGUGUAUGAAGAAGGCCUUCGGGUUGUAAAGUACUUUCAGCGGGGAGGAAGGGAGUAAAGUUAAUACCUUUGCUCAUUGACGUUACCCGCAGAAGAAGCACCGGCUAACUCCGUGCCAGCAGCCGCGGUAAUACGGAGGGUGCAAGCGUUAAUCGGAAUUACUGGGCGUAAAGCGCACGCAGGCGGUUUGUUAAGUCAGAUGUGAAAUCCCCGGGCUCAACCUGGGAACUGCAUCUGAUACUGGCAAGCUUGAGUCUCGUAGAGGGGGGUAGAAUUCCAGGUGUAGCGGUGAAAUGCGUAGAGAUCUGGAGGAAUACCGGUGGCGAAGGCGGCCCCCUGGACGAAGACUGACGCUCAGGUGCGAAAGCGUGGGGAGCAAACAGGAUUAGAUACCCUGGUAGUCCACGCCGUAAACGAUGUCGACUUGGAGGUUGUGCCCUUGAGGCGUGGCUUCCGGAGCUAACGCGUUAAGUCGACCGCCUGGGGAGUAUGGCCGCAAGGUUAAAACUCAAAUGAAUUGACGGGGGCCCGCACAAGCGGUGGAGCAUGUGGUUUAAUUCGAUGCAACGCGAAGAACCUUACCUGGUCUUGACAUCCACGGAAGUUUUCAGAGAUGAGAAUGUGCCUUCGGGAACCGUGAGACAGGUGCUGCAUGGCUGUCGUCAGCUCGUGUUGUGAAAUGUUGGGUUAAGUCCCGCAACGAGCGCAACCCUUAUCCUUUGUUGCCAGCGGUCCGGCCGGGAACUCAAAGGAGACUGCCAGUGAUAAACUGGAGGAAGGUGGGGAUGACGUCAAGUCAUCAUGGCCCUUACGACCAGGGCUACACACGUGCUACAAUGGCGCAUACAAAGAGAAGCGACCUCGCGAGAGCAAGCGGACCUCAUAAAGUGCGUCGUAGUCCGGAUUGGAGUCUGCAACUCGACUCCAUGAAGUCGGAAUCGCUAGUAAUCGUGGAUCAGAAUGCCACGGUGAAUACGUUCCCGGGCCUUGUACACACCGCCCGUCACACCAUGGGAGUGGGUUGCAAAAGAAGUAGGUAGCUUAACCUUCGGGAGGGCGCUUACCACUUUGUGAUUCAUGACUGGGGUG
rnacentral:rRNA from 1 species